GCUUGUCUCAAAGAUUAAGCCAUGCAUGUCUAAGUAUAAACAACUUUAUACAGUGAAACUGCAGAUGGCUCAUUAAAUCAGUUAUAAUUUAUUUGAUGAUUAACUUUACUACAUGGAUAACCGUAGUAAUUCUAGAGCUAAUACAUGCGAAAAGUCCUGACUUCUUCGUGAGGGAGGGAUGUAUUUAUUAGAUACAAUCAAACGCACCAACAUAAAACCUUGGUGAUUCAUAAUAACUGUUCGAAGCGCACGGCCUCGCGCCGGCGCUAGUUCAUUCAAAUUUCUGCCCUAUCAGCUUUCGACGGUAGUGUAGUGGACUACCGUGGCGCUAACGGGUGACGGAGAAUUAGGGUUCGGUUCCGGAGAGGGAGCCUGAGAAACGGCUACCACAUCCAAGGAAGGCAGCAGG
rnacentral:rRNA from 1 species